rnacentral:misc_RNA from 1 species
AUUUGGGGAAGGAAAUAGAAGAUAAAUUGCUGGCAGAGCUUGUGGAGGAUUCUGUGGCAGAUUUGACAAGUUGGGUUUGAUGAGGCUAUCUUUCUUCCCUCCCUAUUUAUUGCAACUCUUAUUUGUCUAUUUGUGCAUUUGAUUCUCAACAACGAUGGUCCCUACCUACCCUACCCUACCUUUCUCAUUUGUUUAAUGCUGCAAGCG